rnacentral:rRNA from 1 species
GAUGAACGCUGGCGGCGUGCCUAAUACAUGCAAGUCGAGCGAAUGGAUUAAGAGCUUGCUCUUAUGAAGUUAGCGGCGGACGGGUGAGUAACACGUGGGUAACCCGCCCAUAAGACUGGGAUAACUCCGGGAAACCGGGGCUAAUACCGGAUAACAUUUUGAACCGCAUGGUUCGAAAUUGAAAGGCGGCUUCGGCUGUCACUUAUGGAUGGACCCGCGUCGCAUUAGCUAGUUGGUGAGGUAACGGCUCACCAAGGCAACGAUGCGUAGCCGACCUGAGAGGUGGCUCGGCCACACUGGGACUGAGACACGGCCCAGACUCCGACGGGAGGUAGCAGUAGGGAAUCUUCCGCAAUGGACGAAAGUCUGACGGAGCAACGCCGCGUGAGUGAUGAAGGCUUUCGGGUCGUAAAACUCUGUUGUUAGGGAAGAACAAGUGCUAGUUGAAUAAGCUGGCACCUUGACGGUACCUAACCAGAAAGCCACGGCUAACUACGUGCCAGCAGCCGCAGUAA